UACGGAGGGUGCGAGCGUUAAUCGGAAUUACUGGGCGUAAAGGGUGCGUAGGUGGUCUGAUAAGUUAUCUGUAAAAUCCCUGGGCUUAACCUGGGCAGGUCAGAUAAGACUGUUGGACUCGAGUAUGGUAGAGGGUAGUGGAAUUUCCGGUGUAGCGGUGAAAUGCGUAGAGAUCGGAAGGAACACCAGUGGCGAAGGCGGCUACCUGGCCUAAUACUGACACUGAGGCACGAAAGCGUGGGGAGCAAACAGG
rnacentral:rRNA from 1 species